rnacentral:rRNA from 1 species
UACAGGAGGGUGCAAGCGUUUAAUCGGAAUUACUGGGCGUAAAGCGUGCGCAGGCGGCUUUGCAAGACAGAUGUGAAAUCCCCGGGCUCAACCUGGGAACUGCAUUUGUGACUGCAUGGCUAGAGUACGGUAGAGGGGGAUGGAAUUCCGCGUGUAGCAGUGAAAUGCGUAGAUAUGCGGAGGAACACCGAUGGCGAAGGCAAUCCCCUGGACCUGUACUGACGCUGAGGUGCGAAAGCGU